GGAGGAGCCCCCCAGCAGCGAGCGGCGAGCAACUGACCGCGGCCUUCUGACCAGGACCGGAGCAGGGCCCCAAGCCCCCGGGCCUGGUGGGGGACGCGCUUCUUCCCACACUGUGAGCCUCAGCAGCUCCAGCCAGCGGACCCGACGGCUGAGAGGAGCCCCAGAACCAGGACUGGGGGAUUUGGAGCUGGGCAGAGACUUAACCCCCACAGCACCGGGAAGCAGCCAACUCCCCUCGCCUCCUUCCCCCUUCGUGGCUUGCGGUCUCUCUUCCCCGCCUCGGCCCCCAGGAAGUGUGAG
rnacentral:lncRNA from 1 species